AGGACGAACGCUGGCGGCGUGCUUAACACAUGCAAGUGGAGCGACGAACCGGGGCUUGCCCCGGGGCAGAGCCGCGAACGGGUGAGUAACACGUGGGUUACCUGCCCCAAUGACCGGGACAACCCGAGGAAACUCGAGCUAAUACCGGAUGUGGUCUUCGGACGAAAGGAAGCUUCGGCCUCCGCAUUGGGAUGGGCCCGCGGCGCAUUAGCUUGUUGGUGGGGUAACGGCCUACCAAGGCGACGAUGCGUAGCUGGUCUGAGAGGACGAUCAGCCACACUGGGACUGAGACACGGCCCAGACUCCUACGGGAGGCAGCAGUGGGGAAUCUUGCGCAAUGCGCGAAAGCGUGACGCAGCAACGCCGCGUGGGGGAAGAAGGCCUUCGGUUGUAACCUCUUUCAGUUGGACGAAGCCGCGCGGGUUAAUAGCCCGUCGUGGUGCGGUACCUUCAGAAGAAGCCCGGCUAACUACGUGCCAGUAGCCGCGGUAA
rnacentral:rRNA from 1 species